CGCAUCUGUGCAUGCAGCAUAUCAAUAAGCGGAGGAAAAGAAACUAACAAGGAUUCCCCUAGUAACGGCGAGUGAAGCGGGAAGAGCUCAAAUUUGAAAUCUUAAAGGGUUUCCCUUUACGAAUUGUAGUUUAAAGAAGUGUUUUCUGUUGAGGUUUUGGUAAAAGUUCUUUGGAAUAGGACAUCAUAGAGGGUGAGAAUCCCGUAUUUGACCUUUACUUUCAACUUUGUGAUACACUUUCAAAGAGUCGGAUUGUUUGGGAAUGCAGUCCAAAAUGGGUGGUAAAUUUCAUCUAAAGCUAAAUAUUGGCGAGAGACCGAUAGCGAACAAGUACCGUGAGGGAAAGAUGAAAAGAACUUUGAAAAGAGAGUUAAACAGUCCGUGAAAUUGUCAAAAGGGAAGCGUUUGACACCAGUGUUGUUUUUCUGAAAAUCAAUUAAAGAACUGUUUAUGCUAAGUUGUUUAGACUUUAUCAGCUAACUGUUUAGUUUUGAGCUUUUCUUUAAUGCACUUUUCAGUUAACAAGUCAACAUCAAUUUCUUUUGCUGUAAAAAAGCUUGAGGAAGGUGGCUUGAGAUUCGUCUUAAGUGUUUAUAGCCUCUUGCCUAUGCAGUCGGAGAGAUUGAGGUCUGCAGCGUAGAUCCUUCGGGGCUAAAUGCAUUUGUGCUAAGUUAUAGCAUUUUAUAGACAACUUGUUGACUAUGAUUUGUCUUGUAGCUUACUCGCUUAUGUUAUUUUACCUACGCUUAGGAUGUUGAACGCGCACAGAGUCUC
rnacentral:rRNA from 1 species